rnacentral:lncRNA from 1 species
AGAUGAAAUGUUAGAAAUUUCUGUAGGUAUGGAACCCGACAAUGUAUUAUCACCUAGAACAAGCGUCUCCAAUCUGUGAAGGUUCCCAAUCUUUUCAGGUAUUCCACCUAUAAAAUGGCAAAGCACUUUUGUGUUAGCACUAGUAAAUAAUCCACGUGCUUUGCACGUGAGUAUAGUAAUCCAAAAAUAUUAUUUUUGUAGCUAAUAAAAUUUGUUGUGAAAGUUUUGACAAUCUACCUCAUAAUAUAACUUAUGUGUAUUUUUUAAUUUCUCUAACUAAUUUUGGCUGCAAGUAUAUUCAAAUUUUGAACUCUUUGACCACAAGCUAUUAGAACUUUUUUUUUGAGCUUUUAUUGAUUAAAUUUGGAUUGAACUUUAAUAACAAUUAUUAACACUAUCAUGUUUUACCAAUGGUGUUGUGAUUUCCCUUAAAUUAUAAAAUUGCACAUUUUUGUAUAGUUCAAAAUCAUGUUAUUAAAAUGAAAUAUAUAUGCACAUAUCAAGUUUGGGAGAAGCAAAUCUAAUUUGUAAGUGUAUUAAAAUUUUAAAAGGAGUAUUAGAAUGCAACAUGAAUUGACUUAUUAGAUCUUUAUCAUUUUGAUUAUUGUACUAUACAUCUACUUUUCCUUCCUCUGAUGCAUUCGCAAGCUCUCUUAUCGGUCUAGAUAUGUCUUUUUCCGAUUGAAAGUAAAAUCUAUGAUAAACCUUCUACUAAAAUUAUUAGAUUUUAACAACCGAAAAACUAAGAUUUGGAUAAAUUAUUAAACACUUCCUAAAUAGUAUUUGCAAUAUCAAUACUUAUGAUUACUAAUUAUUUAAUUGUAGACUUACAAUCAGUUAAUUACUUAAGAAUAAAAUAUAUGAAUGGUAUUUCUUUUUUCUUUAGCUUGAGUUUUCUACAAUUUUCAUUUCAUAUAAAACCUAAUUCUCUGGAGGGUAGAUGAUUAUUAUUUAUCAUGUUAUAGGAGUUGAAUUAGUUAGCUUUUUGAUGAAGUUCUUUAGUAUGAAGUGAGCUGCAUUACUUUUUAAAUUUUUUUGCACCAUUUUUUGAAUUGUCUACAUAUAUAUUUUUUUGUAUAUGAACUCUCUGUAAUUAUUUAAUUCACAAGGGUAUGUUUAAUCCAUCAUAUUUAAUUAUUUCUGUGUGAAUGUUCAUUGUCAUCAAUUGAGAUUUCAUUGACUGCAGUAGUUGAGUAUUCUCUUUUCCAUUUAUCUUCUAUUGUUUUUAUAAUUUUGUUUGAAGACAAUGCAACAUAAAGCACAGACAACAACUAUUCCUUUUCUACACUAAUCUGAUAAAUGGCAUGUUCAAUAUGGAUACGUUUAAAUUAAUCCAUAGAUUUUUUUUUGGAUUUUUUCCUUUUUGUCUUAGACGAUAAAACUCUAAUUGUGAUAUCAAAAUUAGUUAGUUGAUUGUAGGUGAAAUAUAAGAAAAUUUUUUAUUGUUUGCUUGGAUUUGGGUGACAUGAAUUGUCAUUUCAAUUGAAACUAAAUUGUUUGCAUGUUUGUUAGUUGCAUGAACAUUUAAGUGCUUUCUUUUAUAUCAUGUUAAUUGUUUAGCAUUUCAAUUUUUAUAUGAAUUUGAAUGGGAUAAAGUGAAGUGUAAUAUUCAUUGAAUUUGGACUAUUUACAUUUUAUCUAAGUGUUUUUCUUAUUAAUAGAGAAUGUAAAUUAUUCAUAAUGCUCAAUCAUUUUGGAUUGGUUAUUUAAUUUUUAGUUAAAAUUCAUUUGAUUGAAAUAGUUGGGUUUUAUAUUUUACUUUUUUUUAUUUCUUCAUAUUGGUAAAAAGUGCAUAAUUGUGAAAUUUUGUUCGUGAUAUUUCUAUGAAAAUAUACAAAUGCAUAAGGGCUCUCUUUUUCUUGUAUGUUUCUCUUUUUUUCCAAAGAGUAUCUAUUUUUUGAAAUUGAUUUUUUUUUUUACAAUCUCAAAUAAUGACUAAUGAGAAAUUUUUCAUGUUUCGAUUAAAAAAUUUUGAUAUGUAUAAUAAUUGGAGAUGUUGUCCAAGGUUAGGUAAAUAGUUUUUAAUUAUAAUUACCAAUACUAUUGAGAUGUAAUCAAUUGGAAAAUUUUAUUUCUUUUAAUUAAUGUUACAUUGAAAUGCAAUAAUUCUAAUUAAAAGACAAGAGGGUAAUUUAGGGAUAACAAAAAUUAAGAUAAAAAAGUGCUUACACUCCCUAAUACCAAGAUUCAUACUUUUUAUAUAAUAAUGAUAAUGAUAAUGAAAUGAUAAUAUUGGUCCUAUCCAACAAGGCUCUAAAUUUAAAAAAUAGAUAUUAAUAGAAGGUUAUAGGACCUCCCUGAUCCUUCUAUUCGUUGCUUCAAAAUUGAUCUCUCUGAACAUUAAAUCCAUUAGAAAGAAAUGCUGAUAUCAAUCAACUGAACAUAAGCCCAAGCAUCCUACGUACAGAUCAUAUUGAUGUUGAGUUUUAACGACCGUCUACAGAAUGAAGACCUUAUGAUUAGGAACUAAGACAUACCUGUCAAUUUGUUGCUUUGAAAAUAUAAACUCGUCAACCAAGCUAAAUUCCCUAUUUCCAUUGGAAUUGCACCUACAAAAUUGCAACUUUUGUGAGUUUGAUUUGAUUUAUAAUGAAAAAAUAUAGUAACAAACAAUGAUGUGAUUUUUGGACUUUCAAAUGCAUUAAUUAGAAACGAUUGUGUUCCUUUUACCCUAUAGCCAACGGUUUAAGCAAUUAAGGCCAUGUAAUUAGAGGUUUGGCAUACCACUCAAUUUGUUGACGGCAAAAUCUAAAAUGGUCAGCAUGGUUAGAUUCCCUAUUUCAUUUGGAGUUGCACCUGCAAAAUUGCAACUUUUGUGAGCUUGAUUUGAGUCGUAACGAAAGCACAUAAUAGCAACAUUAAUGAGACUAUUGAACUCUCCAAAUGCAAUAAUUGGAAAUGAUAAUAGAGUGUCUAUUACAUUAACAAACAAAGAAUAUAGAACUAAUUACAUUUACCUUCCUUUUUUCUAAGGCCUUUUUUUUAUAUUUUUAAUAUAAGUGGGAGGGAUCAAAUCCACUCCCUCUUGCUUACACUUCCUCCCCGGGAUCAUCCAAUCCAUCUGUCUCCCUUGCAUUCACCUUCUUUGAGGUUUAACCAAAUUAUAGAUCACACCUUCAAUUUUGGCAACAUUAUGGCCACCCUUGUCAGUGAUUAAACAAGGAAAAUUAAACAGAGCUUUUUUCCUAUUAAAUUCCUAAAAACAAGCGCUCCACGAAAACAAGAAGCAACUUCCAUGUCAUCCCAAACUAUUGAGAGAUUAUUAAAAUUCAACAAGGAUUUACAUAAAAGAAAAAAGAAAAAGAAGAUGAAGAUAGUAAAUUCCAAACUAUUCAGGAAAUGGUUGCAUACCUAAUUUGUAUAUAGAAAAAUGAAAAAACCAAACCCAUAAUUAUUUAGCAAACAAAUGACCACGGGAUUGUGACAGAUAUAGUUGUUAUAUUUCUUCGAUAAUUUGGUGUAUGCUUUGUAUUGAAACAUUAAAUUGAUGUUCAUAAAUAAAAUUUUUAAGUACAAUAAAAUUAUAUAAACGCACAACAUCUUAUGCAAAAAAAAUAUAUAUAUAUAUACAACAACUAGACAAGUAUAUGAAAAUCCAGUAGUAUGUCGUGAACGCAAGCGGCAAUUGUUGUUUCCUAUUGUUUUACUUGUAUUUUGAGUCAUUUAAAUAUCGCUACGUUCAAAUUACAUUGCAGGCCAACAUUAAAGUAAUUGUGAAUUCUUCUGCGUCCAGUAUCUCUUCAAAAGAAUUUCAUCCAGUCUCUUUGCAUACGAGCAUCGAUUUAGCGUAAACCAAACCGUAAGGAUGCAAAUUUAUUUGUUCUCAUCUCCAUUUAGCUGUCAGUCUGUCAUACACAUCUAUCCUCAGCGCGGACAAACAGCACCCGUCACCCAUUUAGGCCCGUCAAUGGGCCGGGUUCGAGUCGAAAUUCAUUAUUCUAGAUCCGGACCCGGCAUAUCAUACCGAACCCGAAUCUGACCAGUUUAUCCGACGGGUCUUGGAUCGGGGUCGGGUCUAUCCGAAAAAAAUUAUCAAAACUUACAAUUUCUAAUAAAAAUGAGAAAAAAAUAUAUUUGUAAGCUAAUUUUUAACUACUACCAAAAAAACCAAACAAGAAAAGAAAUCAAAUUGAUUUUACUCAAAUACAUCACCCCUAAUCUAAUUAUAUUGAUAAAUAUAUAUAUUUUAAAUUAUUAAUCCAUUUAUAUCCGGAUCCGGAUCUAAUACGGGGUGAAAUACUAUAUUCCGUAUCUGACCUGUUUUUUGUUUGACAAAAUGGAUUCGGAUCCGAGUCCGGAUAACGGAAUUAAAUCCCUACCCGUACCCGCAAAAAUUUCACGGAUCCGAUCCGACUCCGGGUUUAGACCCGGACCGUUGACAGGCCUACCCCAUUCAGACCCCAUAGAAGAAUGGGAGAGGGGCAGGGACGGUUAAGCUAAUGGACAAGAUUUGAUCACCAAAAUUUGUAAGGUCCAGAUUUUAACAUGUGUGAGACCCACAAAAUAUUGCACUAGUAUUACUCACUGUUGUUCUAGUGUUACAUCGUGUACAAAUGAUGUUACACCAUAUACAAAAUGCACACAAGCUUUCGGAACGGUUGCACUGACAACCGUUCCAGCCCCGAGUCCCAGAAGAACAGAACAGAAGGGGCGCACCUUAGAGGGGCAUCUUGGUCAUUUACUGUUCGAAGGGGAGUGUAUCAUAACAUAAUUAGUCCUCAUUUCUCUCUCUUCUUGAUGAGUCGACUCCUUUCUUCUUCUUCCCCUCCUUCUCUUGCUCUGCCUAAUUCUAUUCUUAAUUCCUUAUCUGAAAUAACUAAAUUGAUCUCUAAAGACUUGAAGGCUUGACACUGCAUUUGACCCUGGUCGAACAGCCAUCACUCCUGGCCCCUACUGCAGCAUCUUGCUUUUCAUCUUAGUUGUUGUAAGCCUCCAAUCCAAUGGAUUCCUACUCUCGCACAACUACUUGGUUCAAUCUACCUCCUUCAACCUUAGGUCGGCCUUUUGUCGGAAAGUAAACCCCCAAAUCCUUCAACUAUUACUCCUUCUAUCUGAUUCCUAAAUAGUCUACCAUUACCAUAACUUGCCAAAUAACAACAAUUACCCUGCUUGUUCUUCAACUACGCCACCAAGUUGCUCCUACCUCUGCUCACCUUCCUAUGGAUCUGUAUGCGAUAGUUUACUGGGGUGUGUGUUUGUGUGUGUUUAUAUAUUUGUGUGGUAAUGUCCAUAGAAUGGUGUUUUUAUGUGAAAGUUACAUGAAGAUGGUGAUAAAGAAUGGGUCAAAUGAUGAGAAAAUUGUAAGGGGAAGAUGACGAUGGUGAAUUUUUUUUUUUUUUAUUUUAUGUUUUGAGAAUUUCAGGUUGGCAAGGGUAUUUUAUGGCCUAAAUUUCAAUUAUCAAAUUUAACUUCGAUUAUCUUUUGCUCAUGAACUUCUCAGACUAAAGAUUUUACUUCAAUGGUGAAAAGAUGGACAUGGGAGAAAGGAUAUGUUGGUAACAGAAAACUUGGUUGAAUAGAGAGAAAAGAAAGGUUGGGCUUCAGGGUAUCAUCGGACUUCUAUUAAAAAAUAAUAAUGCUAACGUUAAUAGAGUCAUAAUAUAACGGUUAAUCUUAAGAGUUUGUUAGGCCUCAGACGGUAAAGGCGUUUAGAUUAUAAAUCUGUUUGGAUGUGGGACAUUUUGGUAAUACUGACAAAUUUUAGGGUCUAUCUUAUAAUUGGAUCAAACUUUGGAGAGGUGAAUUGUAAUUAACAAAAGAAUAUAUGCAUAGUCAUACAUAAAAGUGAAUGUCUAUGUGGGUGUAUGUAUGUGUAUCCCAAAAUCCAAUUACAUGAUUAAAUAUUUAAGGUUGCAUUUUUUAUUUGCAUGAAGUCUUAGAGCAUGAUCCACAAGGGAGAAAGGAAUGGUUUGAGUAUGGAGAAAGGAGAGUAUAAAUGAGAAGUUUCGAAUUUAAAAUCUCUCACUUACACUAAAACAAAAAAAGUUUCAUAAAAAUUGAUCCACAAGGAAUUGUCCAGGAAAACCACAAAAAUAAAAUGAUGGUAUAGUUUUUUUUUUUUGUAGUAAAAUAUGCUAGACUCACCAAACUUUUCAAAAGUCUCAUUUGAUCCAUUGACCUAUUUUUUAUACCAAAUUAUUUACUAAAUCUUUUAAAAGUCUCAUCUUAUCCAAUUAGCUAUUUUUUGUACUAAAUAGCACACUAAAUUUUUAAAGCGGUUCAUUUUUUUAACUAUUUGUUAAAUUUUGUUAUUAAGGCAGUUGCAAGUUUGCUAUUUAGUACAAAAAAAAUAGUUUAGUGACUAAAAUGAGACUUUCGAAAAGUUUAAAGGAUUAUUUGGUAAGAAAAAUAGUUUAGUAGAUAAAAUGAAACUUUUAAAAAGAAUGGUGAUAUCUGACGUACUAUUCUUUGAAACGUCCAUACAAAAGAACAGGGGCAUGAGCUUAAUAUACAAUUAUAAACCAUAUACAAGAAGAAGUAUAAGCUUAAUAUAUAGUAUUUAUAAAAUAGGAAUAAAAUUAUUACCUGUUAAAUUGUUACUCCCCAGGUAUAGUCCCUCCAGCAUUGUCAAGUUCCAAAUUGCCUUAGGUAUGGAUCCACUUAAAUGGUUCGAAGCCAAGGAAAACUGCUGAAGCAGUGAACACUGAGAUAAUGUUGAAGGUAUUUGACCAGUCAAAUUAUUACCUCCUAGACCAAGCCAGGUAAGUUUCUGAAGGCCGUGACAGAUGUUGUCUGGAAGAAUGCCAGAUAACCUGUUGCUCAUAAAAGAGAUGGCUUGCAACGAGGAAAUAUUGGAGAUGUGGAGAGGAAACGGACCCGAAAGCUGAUUCUGCUC